GCGCCGUUAGCUCAGCUGGGAGAGCAACUGGUUUACACCCAGUAGGUCGGGGGUUCGAGCCCCUCAUGGCGCA
rnacentral:tRNA from 3 species